AACAUGUCUGUUUGAAGUUAUAAAAAGUCUGGCCUGCCCACUGAUAAAAUUUAAAGGGCCGCGGUAUUCUGACCGUGCAAAGGUAGCAUAGUAGUUAGGUUUUUAAUUGAGAUCUUGUAUGAAUGGUUCGACAAAGAAAGGUCUGUCUUUGUAUUUAAUUAUUGAAUUUAACCUCCAAGUGAAAAGGCUUGGAUAUAUUUAAAAGACGAUAAGACCCUAUAAAACUUAAUACCUUUUUCUUAUUUGAUUGAAGUUAAAUAUAAUAGUUUAGUAGGAAAAUGUAUUGUGUUGGGGCGACAAGGGUAUAAUGGAUUGUAACUGUUCUUAUGUAAAGACAUUAAUAAGUGUUUAGAAUUUUAAUUGAUCCUAAUUAAAGAUUACAAGUUUAAGUUACUUUAGGGAUAACAGCGUUAUUUUUUUUGAGAGUUCUUAUCGAAAAAGAAGAUUGCGACCUCGAUGUUGAAUUAAAAUAUCUGCAUAAUUGUAGAAGUUGUGCAAGAAGGUCUGUUCGACCUUUAAAUUUUUACGUGAUCU
rnacentral:rRNA from 1 species